rnacentral:rRNA from 1 species
UACGUAGGGGGCUAGCGUUGUCCGGAAUCAUUGGGCGUAAAGAGCGUGUAGGCGGCCAGAUAAGUCCGCUGUGAAAACUCGAGGCUCAACUUCGAGCUGUCGGUUGAAACUAUUUGGCUAGAGUCCGGAAGAGGAGAGUGGAAUUCCUGGUGUAGCGGUGAAAUGCGCAGAUAUCAGGAAGAACACCCGUGGCGAAGGCGGCUCUCUGGUACGGAACUGACGCUGAGACGCGAAAGCGUGGGGAGCGAACAGG